rnacentral:snRNA from 1 species
GCGUAUGUUAUUUCUUCCUCAAGGCCUUCCUUAAGACCUGAAGUACAAUUUUUGGAGACCCUGUCCUUCAUUGGGCAGGGUG